rnacentral:rRNA from 1 species
UACGAAGGGGGGCUAGCGUUGUUCGGAAUUACUGGGCGUAAAGCGCACGUAGGCGGAUUGUUAAGUCAGGGGUGAAAUCCUGGAGCUCAACUCCAGAACUGCCUUUGAUACUGGCGAUCUCGAGUCCGGGAGAGGUGAGUGGAACUGCGAGUGUAGAGGUGAAAUUCGUAGAUAUUCGCAAGAACACCAGUGGCGAAGGCGGCUCACUGGCCCGGUACUGACGCUGAGGUGCGAAAGCGUGGGGAGCAAACAGG